AUGGGUGGUGGGAGCUGCGAUGUGUGCAAGGAGGCGCCGUCCAAGUACAAGUGCCCCACUUGCCGCACGCCCUAUUGCUCUGUGAUAUGCUUUAAAAAACACAAAGUUGAAUUCUGCCAAAAGAUAGUGCCCCAGGAAGAAACUAACAAGCCGCCGCUGCAGGAGGAAGUUACGACGAGCUCUGUGUUGCUGGAAAAAGGAGCAGAUUAUCCCAAUAUCAAGGAUCAGCUUCCCUCUUUAAGUAAAAACCCUGAUGAGGACCAGCUUCCCUCUUUAGCAGCGGACAUAACGUGCCCUGCACAAUCUCCAAACACAGUGUGCCCUACAAAAGCUCUUGAAGUUGAGGAUCCAAGCUGGCUUGUUGACCGGAAUAGAUUAAGGUCCUUAGUUGAAUUAAAUGAAGUCAGAGAUGCUCUCAGGGACUCUGAACUGCAGAAAAUGAUACUUCAAAUUGAUGGCUCUUCAGAACCAGAAAAGGAAUUGGAGAAAUUGAUGGAAGGACAAGCUUUUCAACAGUUCGCCAAUAAGAUUCUUGACAUUAUUAGUGCACAACAAUGA
rnacentral:rRNA from 1 species